GGAGGAGCCAGCUGCCCAGACCCUGAGGCCUGCACACCUGAGAGCUCUCGCUGUCACUGAGAUUCUCUCCAGGCAUCAAGCACAGCACCUGGGGCUCACCACCAAGGGGGCCUGAAUCUUGCCAAAACACUCGACCUGAAGUCACAGCUCCUGAUGGGCAGCCCUCUAGCUCUCUUUGUUGGGGUAACCCACUUAAAGAUGCUUGCUCCUUAGAAGAAAAGCUAUGACAAACCUAGACGGUGUAUUAAGAAGCAGAGACACAACUUUACCAACAAAGGCCUGGAUGGUAGCUGUUGCUGAUUCCCCUGUUGCUGACUCCAGGUAGAUUCUUCCUUGUCAAAAAGACUGAGAAAUGGUUUGGGGAACGGAAAUCGAGGGAUUCUGUUCUUGAACGAGAUGAAGCCCCGGAGAUUUAAGAAUAAACUGCCUGGAGUGAAUCUGACAAAAAGUUAAGUAGGAGGAUGAGGAAAUCCUUCUAUUUUGAAUCCCUGGCUACAGGGGAGGAUCAACUUCACCAUCGCCCAGUGUCUGGCCCAAGAUGGGGCCCACGUGGUGGUCAGCGGCAGGAAGCAGCAGAAGACAUGGAAAGACUAGAGCUUCAGCCUCCUUGACGGCUAAAUUGAAGCUACGUCAUAAUUUCUGCCUGUGCCUGGCUUUCCUAUGAUUCCCCCAAGAACCUUGGCUCACCCUCUCUCCUGUUGGUAUGAUUGG